GACGAACGCUGGCGGCGUGCUUAACACAUGCAAGUCGAACGGAAAGGCCCUUCUUUUGUUGGUUGCUCUAGUUGCGAACGGGUGAGUAACACGUGAGUAGCCUACCCUUGCCUUUUGGAUAACUUCACGAAACUGGGGCUAAUCCCGGAUAGGAGCUUCUGCUGCAUGGUGGGGGUUGGACAGUUUCGGCGGUUGGGUCUGGACUUGCGGCGUUUCAGCUUGUUGGUGGGGUAGUGGCUUACCAAGGCUUGGACGGGUAGACGGCCUGAGCGGGUGACAGGCAACACUGGGACUGAGAUAGGGCCCAGAAUCCGACGGGAGGCAGCAGUGGGGAAUAGUGCAAAAUGGGCGGAAGGCGGAAGCAGCAACGGCGCGUGCGGGAUGAAGGUCUUCGGGUUGUAAACCGGGUUCGCCUGGGACGAAGCGUGAGUGACGGUAAUGGGUAAAGAAGCACCGGCUAACUACGUG
rnacentral:rRNA from 1 species